rnacentral:tRNA from 1 species
GCAGUGGUAGUUUAGUGGUAGAAUUCUUGCCUUCCAUUUGGGAGAUACGGGUUUGAUUCCCGGCCAAUGCA